rnacentral:rRNA from 1 species
GCCAGACUCCUACGGGAGGCAGCAGUGAGGAAUAUUGGUCAAUGGGCGAGAGCCUGAACCAGCCAAGUCGCGUGAGGGAAGACGGUCCUAUGGAUUGUAAACCUCUUUUGCCGGGGAGCAAAAAGCGGUACGCGUACCGCAUCGAGAGUACCCGGAGAAAAAGCAUCGGCUAACUCCGUGCCAGCAGCCGCGGUAAUACGGAGGAUCCGAGCGUUAUCCGGAUUUAUUGGGUUUAAAGGGAGCGUAGGUGGAUUGUUAAGUCAGUUGUGAAAGUUUGCGGCUCAACCGUAAAAUUGCAGUUGAAACUGGCAGUCUUGAGUUCAGUAGAGGUGGGCGGAAUUCGUGGUGUAGCGGUGAAAUGCUUAGAUAUCACGAAGAACUCCGAUUGCGAAGGCAGCCUACUAAACUGCCACUGACAUUGAUGCUCGAAAGUGUGGGUAUCAAACAGGAUUAGAUACCCGCGUAAC